AAAAAAAACUGCUGCAAGAAUCUGUUUUUGUAGUUUUGAUGUAUGCAGUUGAUUAGGUAAUAUUUGAAAUUUGGUAUUUAUAUCAAUGAGGAGAGCAUAAAAAUUAAAAGAAUUCUUAACAUUUAUAUGAUUUUAUCUUUCCUUUAGAAGUACUUGGUCUAGUGCAUGUUUGAUAAAGUGAUGUUUUUACUAGCUGAACUUUUUUUUUUCCAGUACCUGAAAAGGAAAUUGAUUUUUAAUUGUAAUAAUGUCUUCAACAGUUAUCAAAAUGAGUUUAAUAUGAAAUUUCUACAGUCGUAUAGAUUUGGUAGUGUAUAUAGUGUAGCUAAGUAUAUAACCUUGCAGAUCAAUUAUGUUAGUGGCCGCAAAUAAUUUGACCUAUGAUGACAUGAAAUACACUGAGUAGUAGUUACAUUCUGAUUCACUCAUAUAUCUCUUGCCAAAUCCAAAGCUCAACAGACUUUAAAUUAAAUUUUGGAAAACAGAAUUUUCUUUAUUUUUUCCCAUUUGAUGCAUUGGGCUGUCCUGUCUAGAAGACAUUAAGUUCUAAGCCUAAUUCUAAAGUUAUAUUUCUAGAAUGACAAAAUGCAGCAGAACAGUUACAUCAUUUUUUGAAGAAUAUAAAAACUGAACUACUGCUACUUGUCAUUUGAUUUUGGGAAGGUAUAAAAGAUUGCCAAUCAUAUGUCUGAAUCUCAAAAAUUCAAACAUUUAGUGAUUGAGUUCUUGACAAAAGAAAGUCAUAACAAUGCAUUAUAUUCAUGCCUUUUUGUGCUGUGUAGUGCGACAGUACUUUUCUGGACAGCUAAUCAAUGCAGGGCUGUUCUCUUUACGGAUGAGUCCAGGUUUAGCCUCCAAAGAGAUAGUAGACAUUAUUUGAUUUGGAGAGAACCUAGAACCCACUGUCAUCCAUCAAACAUCCGUGAAAGAGAUGCAUGCAGAGGAGGCAGUGUCUGUGUUUGGGGUGGUAUCUAUUUGAGUGGAUGUACAGACCUCCAUGUCUUGCCACAUGGAACCAUGAAUGCUCAGGUCUGUAGACAGUGCUAGAAUGCACAGGGCUCACAUCGUGGAUCAUUAUUUUCAGCGCAUGGAGUGGCUAACUCGAUCACCAAACCUGAAGCCUAUCAAGAAUGUUUAGGAUACUUUAGAAAGAUGUAUAGCUGCUCUCAGUCCUUUUGAUGUGUUGUGUCACUUCUAAGGGAGAUCAUACUCCAUACUGAAAGUAAUUUUCUUAUACCAAACUGACACACCAGAUGUGUUCAUUUUAUACAUAUGCUAGUUUCUAUAACACCAUAAUUGUCUGGUAAUUUCUUUUCAUAUUAUUUUAUACCUUACUAUGUAUUGUAUACUGUGGGUCAGCUUCAUUAAAUUCUACAUGUAACUUUUUGAGUAAUUAUUAUUUUUGUGAUUUUUUCCUUAACUAAUGAUAACCAGUGUAGUUUUUAUUCAUGACUAGUCACUGCUAUGACCUCAUAGGGAAAUUUAGUGUAGAAGCAAAAUAAAUCUUCCUAUUCCUGAGUACAGAAAUUGUUUGGCUGCCAUUUUUGGGAGGUUGAAGAGGAACCAUUGAUCUAUAAUUAUUUGUUAUUUAACUGAUAUUUAUUUUGAUAACUUUUUGCCCGGACUUCAAAAGCUAUAAAAGUAAACUACUAUGGCAAAUUCAGCAGAAAAGUGAUGUUUUUAUAUGAACUCAUGUACAGAAUUGAGAUUUCCCAGACGGCCACUCUGCAGUGCAAAUUUUACCUUCUCUCCCACUAACUGUAUUCAGCAGACAAGUCUUCAAUGACAUUUGUUCAAAAACUGAAGCCGCACUUAUGUAGUUCAUGUGAUGACAGUAAUGAUGACACAAAAAUGGCAUUUGGUAUUCGGUAAUAGUUUCAAGGCUGUGACAGAACUUUUUUUUAUUACUUGAAUUGGCUGCCUAACUGAUCAGAGUGCUAUGUGCAUUGGAGUCGAUGGAAACUUCAUAGAAAGCUGAAUAGGUUAUAUUGGAUAUUAUUGUUAUGUGAGUGUUAGACUAAAGUCUCAUAUAACACACAUAUUAAUUCACAUACAUCUGAUAAACAUAUCCCAUAUAUUUUGUGUAAAGCACUGCAAGAUUACAACUUAAAAGUGUGAGUUAUAUUUUAGCACAAUCCUUUGAUUAUUUGAAAUAUUUAUCAUAAUUACAGGAAAGUUAUUUAUAUGGGAAACUCUCAACUUGUCUUCUUUUAUUGUCUAUAAUGGUACUUAAAUAGUGAGUGUCCAUAAUAUGGUACUUAAAUAGUGAUAAUACUUGAAAGUGAAUGAUUCUACAGUCAUUCAUUUAGGCUGUUCAGAUAUCAUAAAAAGAGCUUUCCCACUUCUCUUAAAAUUGUAUUGAUAAGCAAAAGUACUUUCUCUAAUCAAGUAAGUAUAUUGUAGUUUUCUGAUUAGAAAGUAAAAAAUAUUCUGAUCUUCAGACAGUUUUAAUGCUCUUUCAGUGCUGAUUUGUACUUUGUUGUGCUGUUUUAUGAAGUAGACAUUUUAUCUGAAAAUUCUUAUUUGUGAUAAAAUUCCUGAUUAUUUAUAGCAAAAGUCUUAGUUUCUUAUGCCAAAAUAUUUAUUUAUAUUUUUAGAUAUCCUUUUUGGAUGGAGAAGAAGAGCAUCUCAUUUUGCAUGGAAGCCAAAACAUAUGCUAAUAUUCUUAAAACUUUUAAGUGCUUUGUUUUAGUGUUUGUUAUUUUGCAGUCUCCUGUUCAAUUUAUAAAAUGAUUGAGUUUUUUAAACUGACAGUAUAAUCUUAUGAGGCAUAACUGGAAUCAUGUAUGUGAUAAACCUAAAUAUCCUUGCCCCCACUGCUGGAAAGAAUUUGGGAAACGAAAAUACCUAAGUCAACAUUUAAAAAUGCAUAUUCCAGAUUCAUUUAUGUGCCCACACUGUUGUCAUACCUUUCGGUGGAAGUAUCGUUUAAAACAGCAUUUAGAAGUUUGCAACAGACAGGGUUAAAAAAAUGCAGCUUGUGCCUUAGAUAUUAAUAGAAAAAUAUAACAAGAAAAUGCUGUUUUUUCAUUCAUAUUUUGAGACUUGCAAUAACACUAGAUUUUUUAAAACAGUUAUAAAAGUAAUAAUCAAUAUUUGAAGAAUCUGACAAAGCAAAAAUGUAUUGACUGGGUGCUUUGCAAGGUAGAAAAAGUUGGAGUUGCUCACUGGAUUCAGCAUUAUUUUGUACCUUUGUAGAAAAACAUCAUCUGACACUGUUAUAUUAUUAAAAAAAUUAAAUGGGUUUGAGGUAUUUGUAAUCAUACUACAUUCUGAUUUUGAUAUUUUUCUUCUUUAAUAAGCUUUUGUUUAAAAUUGUACAUGUCUUUAUAAAUGUAUUUUUAUGCUAAAUUUCAUAUUGUCUUUUGUCUACUUUGUGUAUUCUACAUUAUAAUGAAAUUAAAUAAUAUUAAUACUCAAUUCAAAUAAAUGCUAUUUAUCAUAUGA